AUUGAACGCUGGCGGCAUGCCUUACACAUGCAAGUCGAACGGCAGCACGGGAGCAAUCCUGGUGGCGAGUGGCGAACGGGUGAGUAAUAUAUCGGAACGUGCCCAGUAGUGGGGGAUAGCCCGGCGAAAGCCGGAUUAAUACCGCAUACGACCUGAGGGUGAAAGCGGGGGAUCGCAAGACCUCGCGCUAUUGGAGCGGCCGAUAUCAGAUUAGCUUGUUGGUGGGGUAAAAGCCUACCAAGGCGACGAUCUGUAGCUGGUCUGAGAGGACGACCAGCCACACUGGGACUGAGACACGGCCCAGACUCCUACGGGAGGCAGCAGUGGGGAAUUUUGGACAAUGGGCGCAAGCCUGAUCCAGCCAUGCCGCGUGCGGGAAGAAGGCCUUCGGGUUGUAAACCGCUUUUGUCAGGGAAGAAACGGCUCUUGAUAAUACCGAGAGCUAAUGACGGUACCUGAAGAAUAAGCACCGGCUAACUACGUGCCAGCCGCCGCCGUAA
rnacentral:rRNA from 1 species